rnacentral:rRNA from 1 species
UACGGAGGAUGCAAGCGUUAUCUGGAUUCAUUGGGUUUAAAGGGUGCGUAGGCGGGCUAUUAAGUCAGUGGUGAAAUCCUGCAGCUUAACUGCAGAACUGCCGUUGAUACUGAUAGUCUUGAGUUUGGUUAAGGUAGGCGGAAUGUGUAAUGUAGCGGUGAAAUGCUUAGAUAUACCACAGAACGCCGAUUGCGAAGGCAGCUUACUAAGCUGUUACUGACGCUGAGGCACGAAAGCGUGGGGAUCAAACAGGA